UUUCCGUAGGUGAACCUGCGGAAGGAUCAUUGUCGAAACCUGCCCAGCAGAACGACCCGCGAACUCGUUAUAAAGCAUCGGGGGCGUUCGGGCCUCGAGCCCGGGCGCUCCCACCCGUCGCGUGGGCGCUAGCCGCUCGCUUCGGCGUGCGUCCUCGCCCCCGCGGCGCAACAACGAACCCCGGCGCGGACUGCGCCAAGGAAAACUGAACGAGAGAGCUCGCUCCCGUCGCCCCGGACACGGUGCGCGUGCGGGAUGCGUGGCCUUCUUUAACGAUCUAAAACGACUCUCGGCAACGGAUAUCUCGGCUCUCGCAUCGAUGAAGAACGCAGC
rnacentral:misc_RNA from 1 species